GACGAACGCUGGCGGCGUGCUUAACACAUGCAAGUCGAACGGAAAGGCCUCUUUCGGGGGGUACUCGAGUGGCGAACGGGUGAGUAACACGUGAGUAACCUGCCCUUGACUUUGGGAUAACUUCAGGAAACUGGGGCUAAUACCGGAUAGGAGCUCCUGCUGCAUGGUGGGGGUUGGAAAGUUUCGGCGGUUGGGGAUGGACUCGCGGCUUAUCCGCUUGUUGGUGGGGUAGUGGCUUACCAAGGCUUUGACGGGUAGCCGGCCUGGGAGGGUGACCGGCCACAUUGGGACUGAGAUAAGGCCCAGACUCCGACGGGAGGCAGCAGUGGGGAAUAUUGCACAAUGGGUGGAAGCCUGAUGCAGCAACGCCGUGUGCGGGAUGACGGCCUUCGGGUUGUAAACCGCUUUCGCUCAUGACGAAGCUUUGUGUGACGGUAGUGGGUAAAGAAGCACCGGCUAACUACGUG
rnacentral:rRNA from 1 species